UACGUAGGGCGCAAGCGUUGUCCGGAAUUAUUGGGCGUAAAGAGCUCGUAGGCGGUUUGUCGCGUCUGGUGUGAAAAACUCAAGGCUCAACCUUGAGCUUGCAUCGGGUACGGGCAGACUAGAGUGCGGUAGGGGUGACUGGAAUCCCUGGUGUAGCGGUGGAAUGCGCAGAUAUCAGGAGGAACACCGAUGGCGAAGGCAGGUCACUGGGCCGCAACUGACGCUGAGGAGCGAAAGCAUGGGGAGCGAACAGG
rnacentral:rRNA from 1 species